rnacentral:tRNA from 1 species
ACCUGGCUGGCUCAUUUAGUAGAGCUUGUGACUCUAGAUCUAGGGGUUGUGAGUUCGAGCCCCACGUUGGGUG